AGAGUUUGAUCAUGGCUCAGGACGAACGCUGGCGGCGUGCUUAACACAUGCAAGUCAAGGAGAAAGGUUCCUUCGGGAAACGAGUAAACUGGCGAACGGGUGAGUAACACGUAGGUAACCUGCCCUAGAGACUGGGAUAACUCCGCGAAAGCGGUGCUAAUACUGGAUAAUGCAGCGGGUCCUUCGGGACAUUGUUGUUAAAACUGGCUUCGGCUAGUACUUUAGGAUGGGCCUGCGCCCGAUUAGCUUGUUGGUAGGGUAACGGCCUACCAAGGCGAUGAUCGGUAGCUGGUCUGAGAGGAUGAUCAGCCACACUGGGAUUGAGAUACGGCCCAGACUCCUACGGGAGGCAGCAGUGGGGAAUUUUGCGCAAUGGGCGAAAGCCUGACGCAGCAACGCCGCGUGACCGAUGAAGCUUCUAGGAGUGUAAAGGUCUGUCGUGAGGGAAGAAAAAUCCGGAUGUAAAUAAUGUUCGGACGUGACGGUACCUCACAAGAAAGCACCGGCUAACUUAGUGCCAGCAGCCGCGGUAAUACUAGGGGUGCUAGCGUUGUCCGGAAUCACUAGGCGUAAAGGGUCCGUAGGCGUUUUGCUAAGUUGAUUGUUAAAUCCAUCGGCUCAACCGAUGAUCUGCAAUCAAAACUGGCAGAAUAGAGUUCGAGAGAGGAAAGUGGAAUUCCUGG
rnacentral:rRNA from 1 species